rnacentral:rRNA from 1 species
GAGAAGGCUAUGUUGGCCGGGCGACGGUUGUCCCGGUUUAAGCGUGUAGGCUGGUUUUCCAGGCAAAUCCGGAAAACCAAGGCUGAGGCGUGAUGACGAGGCACUACGGUGCUGAAGUGACAAAUGCCCUGCUUCCAGGAAAAGCCUCUAAGCAUCAGGUAACAUCAAAUCGUACCCCAAACCGACACAGGUGGUCAGGUAGAGAAUACCAAGGCGCUUGAGAGAACUCGGGUGAAGGAACUAGGCAAAAUGGUGCCGUAACUUCGGGAGAAGGCACGCUGAUAUGUAGGUGAAGCGACUUGCUCGUGGAGCUGAAAUCAGUCGAAGAUACCAGCUGGCUGCAACUGUUUAUUAAAAACACAGCACUGUGCAAACACGAAAGUGGACGUAUACGGUGUGACGCCUGCCCGGUGCCGGAAGGUUAAUUGAUGGGGUUAGCGGUAACGCGAAGCUCUUGAUCGAAGCCCCGGUAAACGGCGGCCGUAACUAUAACGGUCCUAAGGUAGCGAAAUUCCUUGUCGGGUAAGUUCCGACCUGCACGAAUGGCGUAAUGAUGGCCAGGCUGUCUCCACCCGAGACUCAGUGAAAUUGAACUCGCUGUGAAGAUGCAGUGUACCCGCGGCAAGACGGAAAGACCCCGUGAACCUUUACUAUAGCUUGACACUGAACAUUGAGCCUUGAUGUGUAGGAUAGGUGGGAGGCUUUGAAGUGUGGACGCCAGUCUGCAUGGAGCCGACCUUGAAAUACCACCCUUUAAUGUUUGAUGUUCUAACGUUGGCCCCUAAUCGGGGUUGCGGACAGUGUCUGGUGGGUAGUUUGACUGGGGCGGUCUCCUCCUAAAGAGUAACGGAGGAGCACGAAGGUUGGCUAAUCCUGGUCGGACAUCAGGAGGUUAGUGCAAUGGCAUAAGCCAGCUUGACUGCGAGCGUGACGGCGCGAGCAGGUGCGAAAGCAGGUCAUAGUGAUCCGGUGGUUCUGAAUGGAAGGGCCAUCGCUCAACGGAUAAAAGGUACUCCGGGGAUAACAGGCUGAUACCGCCCAAGAGUUCAUAUCGACGGCGGUGUUUGGCACCUCGAUGUCGGCUCAUCACAUCCUGGGGCUGAAGUAGGUCCCAAGGGUAUGGCUGUUCGCCAUUUAAAGUGGUACGCGAGCUGGGUUUAGAACGUCGUGAGACAGUUCGGUCCCUAUCUGCCGUGGGCGCUGGAGAACUGAGGGGGGCUGCUCCUAGUACGAGAGGACCGGAGUGGACGCAUCACUGGUGUUCGGGUUGUCAUGCCAAUGGCACUGCCCGGUAGCUAAAUGCGGAAGAGAUAAGUGCUGAAAGCAUCUAAGCACGAAACUUGCCCCGAGAUGAGUUCUCCCUGAGACUUAGAGUCUCCUGAAGGAACGUUGAAGACGACGACGUUGAUAGGCCGGGUGUGUAAGCGCAGCGAUGCGUUGAGCUAACCGGUACUAAUGAACCGUGAGGCUUAACCUU